rnacentral:rRNA from 1 species
UACGGAGGGUGCAAGCGUUAUCCGGAUUCACUGGGUUUAAAGGGCGCGUAGGCGGGCCGGACAGUCUGUGGUGAAAGCCCCCCAGCUCAACUGGGGAAGUGCCAUGGAUACUGCCGGUCUGGAGGAGGGUAGGGGCGUCUGGAACGCUGGGUGGAGCGGUGAAAUGCGUUGAUAUCCAGCGGAACUCCGGUGGCGAAGGCGAGGCGCUGGACCCUUCUGACGCUGAGGCGCGAAAGCCGGGGAGCAAACGGG